ensembl:lncRNA
CUUUUCAUUGUAAGCUUCACUGCAGUGCAUAUCCUCUCAUUAUAUCUUGCACCUGUUAGUUUUUACAUGACUAUAUCACCACAGGACUGAGGAUAUAUUUGCCCUAAAAUCAGAAAUGUUCUUCGUAUUUCCUCCUCAACCACCUGUUUCUCAGCUGCCGAGGUCUAAGUGGUGAGAGGAUGGCAGUCUUUUGCAUUUUACAGUAGUAGCACAUCUACCAGUGAGCACAAAUCAAACUGCAAAGAAAGGGGAUUGGAGCUGAGAUCCAGAAAACCAAAGAGGUUUUUGUAAAGGCAACAGAAAAACUGAGAAAGACAAGUGAUAACUAUGGGCUGAGAAUUAUAGUGAAGAGUUAAAUCUGAUUUGAGUCUACAACAAGCUACAGGUAACAUGUAUAUGGCAAGGGUAAAAUACUAUUCUCUGUGGAAAUUAUGGAAACUUUUAAAGAAACAUACCCAAUAGAAAUAUUUCUCAUCAGGAAUAAUAUCAACAAUAUACUUUUAUCUUUGAUCAUGGAUCAUUUCUCUUAUGAUCAGCCCCCACUGAUCCACAGUUGAAGGUCAUGUCCUUUUAUCAAGGCCUUUACCAUUAAUUGCAGAUUAUCCUGCAAUUCUUUGCUUCUAAAUUUGCAGUUUACCAUGAAUUGCAGAUUAUUUUACAAUUCUUUGUUUUCAAGUUUGCACCAGUUUGAAAAUAGAGUCUUAGCUAAUGUCUAAAGGGAUUUUCUUUCCUUCAACAUGCUUUAGAAAUCGCUGAUGAUUUGUUUUUCUUUACUCCAGAACUCUCCAUUUGGGUGGCCCUGUGGCUCUGUGUCUCUCUGUAUGCUCUUUGCUGGGAGCCCCUUUAGCUCUGGAAAUGCUAGCUGUAGCCUCUAUAAACUGCUGUUUCUCCAAUCUGCCUGCUCUCUUCUACUCAGCUGCCUCACAGCCCUAUGGUAAUGGGAAAGAUUUUCGCAGUUCCUGGCUAUUUUCAAGAAAAGAGGAGUAAUUUGCAGAUUAGUCUGUGAUAAAAAAAAUAGUCUGCCUCACUGCAGAUACUCUGUGCUAAGGUUUUAAAGGUUGUGGUUAGAGACCUAUGGGUCCUGAAACCUGCAAAGAAUAUGAAUCCCUGCUUGAAAAAUUUUUAAUGAGUGAUAACUGGGUUUUGACAUAUGACACACUUCUUAUUUUAGAUCAUGAUGAAAACAUCUUUGAAAUUACUCUUUUAUUUAUUUAAUGUAUAAGUUACUUUAAUGUAUAAACUAUUUAAGUAUCCAACUACUGGCAGAUAUUUGAGCUUUUACUCUUUAGAUUUUCAUGCUCACUGUUGUGGGUAUCUAUGUUGAAGUGAACCAUUGAAACAACUGGAUAAGAAUUGUGAAUGAAAGGAGUUCCUGUCGUGGUGCAGUGGUUAAUGAACCCAACUAGUAUCCAUGAGGAUGCGGGUUCCAUUCCUGGCCUUUCUCAGUGGGUUGGGGAUCUGGUGUUGCUGUGAGCUGUGGAAUAGGUCACAGACACGGCUCAGAUCCUGUGUUGCUGUGGCUGUGGUAUAGGCUGGCAUCUGGAGCUCCAAUUCAACCCCUAGCCUGGGAACCUUCAUAUGCCUCGGGUGUGGCCCUAAAAAGACAAAAAAAAGAAAGAAAGAAAAAAAAAAAAAA